rnacentral:tRNA from 1 species
AGUUAAUUAACUAAACAGUAUAUAUUUUGAAAAUAUAAAUUAAGAAAUUAAACUUUCUAUUAACUU